UACAGAGGGUGCGAGCGUUGUCCGGAAUCACUGGGCGUAAAGGGCGCGUAGGCGGUUUUUCAAGCGUGCGGUGAAAGCUCAGGGCUCAACCCUGAGUCGGCCGUGCGAACUGGGAGACUGGAGCACGGUAGAGGCACAUGGAAUUCCGGGUGUAGCGGUGGAAUGCGUAGAGAUCCGGAAGAACACCGGUGGCGAAGGCGGUGUGCUGGGCCGUUGCUGACGCUGAUGCGCGACAGCGUGGGGAGCAAACAGG
rnacentral:rRNA from 1 species